GCGUAACUGGGCGCAGCCUGAUCAGCAUGCCGCGUGCAGGAAGAAGGCCUUCGGGUUGUAAACUGCUUUUGUACGGAACGAAAAGCUCUGGGUUAAUACCCUGGGGUCAUGACGGUACCGUAAGAAUAAGCACCGGCUAACUACGUGCCAGCAGCCGCGGUAAU
rnacentral:rRNA from 1 species